rnacentral:rRNA from 1 species
AGUGGCGCACGGGUGAGUAACGCGUGGGUAAUCUACCCUUGGAUUUGGGAUAACUCUGCGAAAGUGGAGCUAAUACCGGAUAGUCUGGCUUUAAAUAAGAAGUCGGUAAAGGAUGCCUCUGCAUAUGCAUUCGUCCGAGGAUGAGCCCGCGUCUCAUUAGCUAGUUGGUAGGGUAAUGGCCUACCAAGGCAACGAUGAGUAGCUGGUCUGAGAGGAUGAUCAGCCACACUGGAACUGAAACACGGUCCAGACUCCUACGGGAGGCAGCAGUGGGGAAUAUUGCGCAAUGGGCGAAAGCCUGACGCAGCAACGCCGUGUGAGGGAUGAAGGCUUUCGGGUCGUAAACCUCUGUCGGAAGGGAAGAACGGGCAUUGGUCUAAUAGGCCUUUGUUUUGACGGUACCUUUAGAGGAAGCACCGGCUAACUCCGUGCCAGCAGCCGCGGUAAUACGGAGGGUGCAAGCGUUAUUCGGAAUUACUGGGCGUAAAGCGCACGUAGGCGGCCUUGUAAGUCAGGGGUGAAAUCCCACGGCUCAACCGUGGAACUGCCUUUGAAACUGCAGGGCUUGAAUCCUGGAGAGGGUGGCGGAAUUCCUGGUGUAGGAGUGAAAUCCGUAGAUAUCAGGAGGAACACCG